rnacentral:rRNA from 1 species
GCAGUGAGGAAUUUUUGUCAAUGGGGGAAACCCUGAACGAGCAACGCCGCGUGGAGGACGAAGACCUUCGGGUUGUAAACUCCUUUCGGACGGGACGAAUCCCAUCGGGGCCAAUACCCCCGGUGACUGACGGUACCGUAAGAAGAAGCCCCGGCUAACUUCGUGCCAGCAGCCGCGGUAAUACGAGGGGGGCAAGCGUUGUUCGGAAUUACUGGGCGUAAAGGGCGCGUAGGCGGUCUGACAAGUCUCUCGUGAAAGCCCACGGCUCAACCGUGGAACUGCGGGAGAAACUGCCAGACUUGAGUCCGGGAGGGGGGAGAGGAAUUCCCAGUGUAGCGGUGAAAUGCGCAGAUAUUGGGAGGAACACCAGAGGCGAAGGCGUCUCCCUGGACCGGU